UGGAGAUAGCUGGUUCUCUCCGAAAUAGCUUUAGGGCUAGCCUCAAGUGAUGAUUAUUGGAGGUAGAGCACUGUUUGGACGAGGGGCCCCUCUCGGGUUACCGAAUUCAGACAAACUCCGAAUGCCAAUUAAUUUAACUUGGGAGUCAGAACAUGGGUGAUAAGGUCCGUGUUCGAAAGGGAAACAGCCCAGACCACCAGCUAAGGUCCCAAAAUAUAUGUUAAGUGGAAAAGGAUGUGGCGUUGCCCAGACAACUAGGAUGUUGGCUUAGAAGCAGCCAUCAUUUAAAGAGUGCGUAAUAGCUCACUAGUCGAGUGACACUGCGCCGAAAAUGUACCGGGGCUAAACAUAUUACCGAAGCUGUGGAUUGUCCUUUGGACAAUGGUAGGAGAGCGUUCUAAGGGCGUUGAAGCAUGAUCGUAAGGACAUGUGGAGCGCUUAGAAGUGAGAAUGCCGGUGUGAGUAGCGAAAGACGGGUGAGAAUCCCGUCCACCGAUUGACCAAGGUUUCCAGAGGAAGGCUCGUCCGCUCUGGGUUAGUCGGGUCCUAAGCUGAGGCCGACAGGCGUAAGCGAUGGAUAACAGGUUGAUAUUCCUGUACCACCUAUAAUCGUUUUAAUCGAUGGGGGGACGCAGUAGGAUAGGCGAAGCGUGCGAUUGGAUUGCACGUCUAAGCAGUAAGGCUGAGUAUUAGGCAAAUCCGGUACUCGUUAAGGCUGAGCUGUGAUGGGGAGAAGACAUUGUGUCUUCGAGUCGUUGAUUUCACACUGCCGAGAAAAGCCUCUAGAUAGAAAAUAGGUGCCCGUACCGCAAACCGACACAGGUAGUCAAGAUGAGAAUUCUAAGGUGAGCGAGCGAACUCUCGUUAAGGAACUCGGCAAAAUGACCCCGUAACUUCGGGAGAAGGGGUGCUCUUUAGGGUUAACGCCCAGAAGAGCCGCAGUGAAUAGGCCCAAGCGACUGUUUAUCAAAAACACAGGUCUCUGCUAAACCGUAAGGUGAUGUAUAGGGGCUGACGCCUGCCCGGUGCUGGAAGGUUAAGAGGAGUGGUUAGCUUCUGCGAAGCUACGAAUCGAAGCCCCAGUAAACGGCGGCCGUAACUAUAACGGUCCUAAGGUAGCGAAAUUCCUUGUCGGGUAAGUUCCGACCCGCACGAAAGGCGUAACGAUUUGGGCACUGUCUCAACGAGAGACUCGGUGAAAUCAUAGUACCUGUGAAGAUGCAGGUUACCCGCGACAGGACGGAAAGACCCCGUGGAGCUUUACUGUAGCCUGAUAUUGAAAUUCGGCACAGCUUGUACAGGAUAGGUAGGAGCCUUUGAAACGUGAGCGCUAGCUUACGUGGAGGCGCUGGUGGGAUACUACCCUAGCUGUGUUGGCUUUCUAACCCGCACCACUUAUCGUGGUGGGAGACAGUGUCAGGCGGGCAGUUUGACUGGGGCGGUCGCCUCCUAAAAGGUAACGGAGGCGCUCAAAGGUUCCCUCAGAAUGGUUGGAAAUCAUUCAUAGAGUGUAAAGGCAUAAGGGAGCUUGACUGCGAGACCUACAAGUCGAGCAGGGUCGAAAGACGGACUUAGUGAUCCGGUGGUUCCGCAUGGAAGGGCCAUCGCUCAACGGAUAAAAGCUACCCCGGGGAUAACAGGCUUAUCUCCCCCAAGAGUUCACAUCGACGGGGAGGUUUGGCACCUCGAUGUCGGCUCAUCGCAUCCUGGGGCUGUAGUCGGUCCCAAGGGUUGGGCUGUUCGCCCAUUAAAGCGGUACGCGAGCUGGGUUCAGAACGUCGUGAGACAGUUCGGUCCCUAUCCGUCGUGGGCGUAGGAAAUUUGAGAGGAGCUGUCCUUAGUACGAGAGGACCGGGAUGGACAUACCUCUGGUGUACCAGUUGUCGUGCCAACGGCAUAGCUGGGUAGCUAUGUGUGGACGGGAUAAGUGCUGAAAGCAUCUAAGCAUGAAGCCCCCCUCAAGAUGAGAUUUCCCAACUUCGGUUAUAAGAUCCCUCAA
rnacentral:rRNA from 1 species